AUGUUUAUGCUUCAGGGAUCAUUUUUGUAGAAUGCUUUCAGGGAAGCAUAAGGAGGCUGGUCUUGUCAACCAUAACGAUGAGCAGACAGACUUUCAUCUGAGCAUGAAACGUACAGAAAACAUUAUGUUGCCUCGAAAGUACUUUUCUUUUGAUGUUUGCAAUUGUUCUGUUCUUUCUGAGAACAAUAGAUGGAAGAAUGUUCCAAGCACA